UACGUAGGGGGCAAGCGUUGUCCGGAUUUAUUGGGCGUAAAGAGCGUGUAGGCGGCCAGACAGGUCCGUUGUGAAAACUCGAGGCUCAACCUCGAGACGCCGAUGGAAACCGUCUGGCUAGAGUCCGGAAGAGGAGAGUGGAAUUCCUGGUGUAGCGGUGAAAUGCGCAGAUAUCAGGAGGAACACCGGUGGCGAAGGCGGGUCUCUGGGCAACAACUGACGCUGAGGGGCGAAAGCGUGGGGAGCGAACAGG
rnacentral:rRNA from 1 species